ACAGCUCUCUUAUUGUAUAUUAAAGAUUGUAUUUGUAUUUUGUACCAUGUAUCUGGCGACUCAAGAUGGGUGAUGUAUAUCUAUUUUUGGGGGCGUCACAUAACAAGCUCAGCAAGUCUAACAAAGAAUAACAUUAAUACCACAUUCGUGAAUUAUACGACAAUUUUCCAUAAAUGAACAAAUAGUUAUGAAGUAUCAUGAAACAGUAAUACUUUAACAAAUCAUAACAUCAAUUCCCAAAGUAUAGAAUAGAUUAGGAAUUCUGAACCGAUCGAUAGACCAUGAAUAGUAGCUUUCUGUUUUCAUACUUGAAAAGGACAUCACAACACUGAUGUACAUCCGACAUUACAUACUAGCACUUCUAGGUGAUCAGCCUAUAGUACUCUAUGUUGAUCAACAUUCAUCCGUUAAACGUAUUUACGUUUAAGUUUUGGUAAGCUCGUGUGCCCAUCGAAUAAUCGAUGAAAAAUACUUUUGUUUGUUCUAACCUUACCUUCAAAUCUGUACCAAUUACUUGGCAUAGGAUAGCGUUAACAUUUCUAUAUAGAAUGAUAUGUAGACAAAUCAAUCUAUAUCUUACGAGUAGUCUAGCCGAGUUAAAACUGGCAUUGACUGUGGCGACCCCAAAUCCGGAUACUUGAAACCCGAACUCGGUUCUCCAUGAUACCAUUUCUUUAAGCUGAAUAAUACUAAAUAAUAAUAAUAAUAUAAUUCGAACUUAAUUUACAUACAUCAAAGUUUACUUCCCCAGGUACGUGACCUUCAAAUACAUUCCUUACAAUACCUGACAAUAGAUUCCAUUGUCUUACUAACUAUAACCAUUAACUCAUACUAANN
rnacentral:lncRNA from 1 species